rnacentral:rRNA from 1 species
UACGGAGGAUGCGAGCGUUAUCCGGAUUUAUUGGGUUUAAAGGGUGCGUAGGCGGGUUAUCAAGUCAGCGGUAAAAUCGUGGAGCUCAACUCCAUCCAGCCGUUGAAACUGAUGAUCUUGAGUGGGCGAGAAGUAUGCGGAAUGCGUGGUGUAGCGGUGAAAUGCAUAGAUAUCACGCAGAACUCCGAUUGCGAAGGCAGCGUACCGGCGCCCAACUGACGCUGAAGCACGAAGGCGUGGGUAUCGAACAGG